rnacentral:rRNA from 1 species
GACGAACGCUGGCGGCGUGCUUAACACAUGCAAGUCGAACGGAAAGGCCCUGCUUUUGUGGGGUGCUCGAGUGGCGAACGGGUGAGUAACACGUGAGUAACCUGCCCUUGACUUUGGGAUAACUUCAGGAAACUGGGGCUAAUACCGGAUAGGAGCUCCUGCUGCAUGGUGGGGGUUGGAAAGUUUCGGCGGUUGGGGAUGGACUCGCGGCUUAUCAGCUUGUUGGUGGGGUAGUGGCUUACCAAGGCUUUGACGGGUAGCCGGCCUGAGAGGGUGACCGGCCACAUUGGGACUGAGAUACGGCCCAGACUCCUACGGGAGGCAGCAGUGGGGAAUAUUGCACAAUGGGCGGAAGCCUGACGCAGCAACGCCGCGUGCGGGAUGGCGGCCUUCGGGUUGUAAACCGCUUUCGCCUGUGACGAAGCGUGAGUGACGGUAAUGGGUAAAGAAGCACCGGCUAACUACGUG